AAACCACAAUCCAAUCUUCGAUUUUUCAACGACAACCAGGUGAAAGAGACACAUUUAGCCGUCUAGCUCCAUAGACCCCCAUUGUUUUUGCACUUAUUCGUGAUCGCCUCUAGAGGAACUGCAGCAGAUUGCAGGUAAAAUGGAGUUAAUAGGGAGUGAUCUGGCUCUCCGUAAACGGGCUCUGGAUGCACUUAGAGA